UACGUAUGUCGCAAGCGUUAUCCGGAAUUAUUGGGCAUAAAGGGCAUCUAGGCGGCCAGAUAAGUCUGGGGUGAAAACUUGCGGCUCAACCGCAAGCCUGCCCUGGAAACUAUAUGGCUAGAGUACUGGAGAGGUGGACGGAACUGCACGAGUAGAGGUGAAAUUCGUAGAUAUGUGCAGGAAUGCCGAUGAUGAAGAUAGUUCACUGGACGGUAACUGACGCUGAAGUGCGAAAGCUAGGGGAGCAAAC
rnacentral:rRNA from 1 species